CGGAGCUGUUAUGUAUAUGUAUUGUAUCGCGAACCUGCGUUAGAAAAGCGAGCGCGUCCUUUUUAUUUCGCUUUCGGUCGCUUUCGUUUCAAGUCUCUUAAGUUGUUCUGGUGGUUCCUGUGUCUGUGCCACAACUAUAUACAGUUUAACUAAAUCCGGCAACGUUGUUAUUGUAUUUUAUUUGCUUCUCAACACGUCUCACUGAUUGUUGAGUGAUUUUCAAAAGUUUAAGUGCCAAAGAAAAUUUUUAAAAACUUGCCUUUGUGGUCUUGAUUGUUUACCAAGUCGAUAAUUUUUAGUGACUAUUCAAGAGACAAGUGUUUACUCACGAGUCCACGUGAGGCUUAUUGUUGCAGUUUUCGAGAUAGAAUAGUGGCAAAUAAUAAUGGGCACUAGAGCUGUAGGAUUAGGAAGUGCUGGAGGAGCUGGAGUGGUCGGAGAAGCUGGUCUAGCGGGUGUACCACGACUUCUUGAAGAUUUGACGAGACUUUCUGAGGACAAUGAGUCUGCGGACAUUGUUUUUCUACUUGGGAGAGACGAAACUCCUGUUUAUGGUCAUCGGAUUAUUCUUCAAGUCAGGUGCAAAAAUUUCACAACACCAAAACGAAUGGGGAACUCGGGGAACCCAACGCCUAUCAGAAUGCCUCAUGCUCAUCCCGAGACAUUUCGACAGUUCAUUCACUACGUCUACACGGGAAAAAUAAUGCUCCAAGACAGCGGAAUUUUUGAAAUGCUCGCUUUGGCUCAAGAGCUCGGAGUCGAGGAGCUCUGGAGGAGUUGCGAAGAACAUGUAUCAGCAACUUUGAGUCCCGGAAAUGCAUGUGCACUUCUUACGGCGGCUCUAGAUGCUCAAGACCGAGUUCUUGGUGGAAAAGGAGCUUGCUCAUCGUUCAUCGAACGCUGUUUUGCAUUUAUAAGCGACAAUGCUAUUGAUACAGUAAAAACUCCAGCUUUUAGCAACUUACCCAAGGAUGCUCUGGUGAAAUUGAUCUCCUCUGACUACUUGGGACUUGAAGAAGAAGACGUAUGGCGUGCUGUCCUCAACUGGGCUAAAUAUCAAGCAGGUGUUACACAACCGACUCAACAUUGGACCGAAGAGGAGCGUGCUCGUGUUUGUCAACAUCUAGCUGGUGUUAUUAAUCACGUUCGAUUAUUAUUGAUCGACAGCCAUGUAUUUGCUGAAGAAGUCGAGCCAACUGGUGCUGUGCCCAUUGAACUAUCACUCGAAAGGUAUCGUUAUGCCGCAGUACCCAACAAGUACUCAGAAAUUUGUGCUGACAAGCGCCUGCAGCCCCGAAUCGGGCCUCUGCUGUUCCCAGGAUCUCAAAUCCUGUCUCGAGACAAAAUGGGAUAUCAACGACUGCUGAAUCAGUGGUAUGGAAACCCCAAGCAAAAUUGGCGACUAAUUUAUCGCGCAUCCAGUAACGGGUACUCAGCAUCAGCAUUCCACCGUCAUUGUGACGGCGUCGCGCCAACUUACACCAUCGCCUUGAGCUCGCGAGGCGAAAUAUGCGGUGGGUUUAGCGAUGUUGCCUGGGACAAAACAAGUGCCAAGGGUCACUACAUAUCUGCUGAGAAAGCAUUUCUUUUUACGCUUACCAAUAAUCAGGAUGUCCCGCCAACUAAAUACGACCUUAUUAAAAAGCCAUUCGCUAUUUGCUAUCAUCCUGAUAUUGGUCCAAUCUUUGGAGCAGGAGCAGACUUGUUGAUAUCAAACAAUUGUAACGUUAAUUUAGAAAGUUACAGUAAUCUACCUCACACCUAUGACGGUGAAAAUGCCUCAAGUACAAUUUUAAUGGGCGAUUAUCACUUUACUGUCCUUGAUUAUGAAGUGUUUACUUUAAACGGCCCGAUUUCAAAGUCUGAAAGACACUAAAACCUUAAAAACAAAUUACAUUCCUCAAGAUAACACUUGAACCUGACAGUACGUGACUAAGUACACUAACCCAGUGUCACAAUCCACUUAUCCAGUUUUAUCCAGUCCAGAAUUCUUCCAUUUAACGUUUUAUUGGAAAUUUGGAGUAAACGCUGGUUAAUCAUCGCUCAGUAUAUCGG
rnacentral:misc_RNA from 1 species